GAAAGCCGUAUGAUGGGAAACUAUCACGUACGGUUUGGGAAAGGAUUUUUGACUAACGGUGAUAAACUGGGGUCAAUCUUCUAUUUCAC
rnacentral:ncRNA from 1 species